AUGGAGCCGGCGGAGGCGGAACACUCCCACCCAGAGCGCGGCCUUGUGGUUGGCAAGACGGCGGACGCAGGCCAAAUACGCGCCCCGAGAGGGCCGGGGCCCGGGCUACCCUCCUUCCCUGCGCUCUGCGAGCCCCUAGGUGGCUCUGGGGAGGAUCACCCGCGCGGGGAUGGCGCCAACCCCUGUUCCCACUGCAACCCCGGGUUUCUUUUUGAGGCUGACCGGUGGCGCCCAGACAAACACGGUUGGUCAGCCCCGUCCUGUCCAGGAUCGAUGGCUGGCGACGUCCGGAGAGUGCCCAGGGGCGCUGCAGGCUCUAGGACCUGGAUUCCAGCACCCCGUUGUCCGGUUCAGUCCCACUCCCGACUGGGCUUUGCUCUUCUGUUCCGCCGGCCCAACUGCUCAGCGCAUAAGGGCUGGAAGCGAGGACCUACGUCCGGCGUCGCGCAGGCAGGGAUCAGAGCAGGGAGCGCGCAGAACACCACGGAGAUCGACCAGCCGACUCCGCAUCAGGUGCCGGGCGUACGCCUGGGGCGCUCCUCCCGGGUGGGCGUCCUAGUAGCACCACACAGCCAGGGAGAACAUCUCCUGCUCCCCCUGCUCUCAGCUGGCUAAGACCCUCCAGCGGUCAGCAAAGGGGGCCAGGCUGGUGCCCAAGUUUCUGCAGAUCCCCUCCUGAGAGAGGGGAGGAGUGCCCACCCCGCUCCUGCCAGGGCUCUGCAGGCCCCCGGGCUUCACUUCUGCAUUGCGACAGAGCGGAGCUGGUGGAUCUACCGGCGAGAGACGCCCAUUUCUCCUGAGCCAGGAAUUUUACACUCCGAGGAUGAGAAGGCUUCUCCCAGCCUAGCCUGCAACGCUCUCUUCUGAUUUUAUGUGAGCUUUUACCCUAAUAAACCUUUUAAAAUAUACACUAAUUGUGUUUAUUGUAUUCUUUUGUUAUCACGUGUGUCGUUAUGGGCAUGGCUCUCCCUGGGGUCUCAGGGCCUUUCCCAGCCUCACGCUGUGUUGUCUGUCCCUGUGGCUGUGUGUGGCUCUGUGUCCCUGUGUGUGUAUCUGUGCGUCCCUGUGUCUGUGUGUGGCUCUGUGUCCCUGUGUGUGUGUCUGGGUGUUCCUGUGGCUGUGUGUGUCUGUGUGUCCCUGUGGCUGUGUGUAUCUGUGUGUCCCUGUGAGUGUGUGUCUGUGUGUCCCAGUGAGUGUGUGUGUCUAUGUGUCCCUGUGUAUAUGUCUGUGUGUCCUUGUGUGUGUGUCUGUGUCUCCCUGUGGCCCUGUGUGUGUGUGUCUGCGUGUCCCUGUGAGUGUGUGUCUGUGGCCCUGUGUGUGUGUAUCUGUGUGUCCCUGUGGCUGUGUGUGUCUAUGUGUCCCUGUGGGUGUGUGUGUCUGUGUGUCCC
rnacentral:lncRNA from 1 species